UACGUAGGUGGCAAGCGUUGUCCGGAAUGACUGGGCGUAAAGGGAGCGUAGGCGGCGCGGUAAGUUAGGAGUGAAAUCCCGGGGCUCAACCCCGGAACUGCUUUUAAAACUGCCGUGCUUGAGUGAUGGAGAGGAAAGCGGAAUUCCUAGUGUAGCGGUGGAAUGCGUAGAUAUUAGGAGGAACACCAGUGGCGAAGGCGGAUUGCUGGACAGUAACUGACGCUGAGGCUCGAAAGCGUGGGGAGCAA
rnacentral:rRNA from 1 species